CACUAAAAUUAUCUAUUGAAGAGACACAUCCAGACCCACGUAACAGGUCUUCAGGGAAGCCAUGGUGUUGACCAACAAACUAUGGAGAUGCAUUAGUGAGGUGUAAGCAGGAGAGAUGGGUGGGAGCAUCAUCAUACAACUGUCUAUCUGGUGUUCACUGCAGUGGAUUGGACUCAAUGCCCUUCACCAAUAUUGAAAGAAGGAAACCAUCAAGCCCAGGGAGAGCAGGAGGAGGAGCCAGCAUAGGAGGAGAAGGUAAUCCCGACGUUGAGCCAGCAGAGGUGGUGCCACAGGCAGAGGAGGUCUCAUGGAAGUGUGACCUACCGGAGAGAGCCCAAACAGAGCCAGCACUUUCUGAGCCAACCCUCUCUGACUUUGAGGUAGUGGAGUAGGAACCGACACAUGUAUCCAGGAUGCUCCUUUGGAUGCUGCUGAUGUCAUGAAGAACAUGAAUGGACCAAAAUAUCUUGGGAAAGCCAGUGGGAUCAUCUGUGGGGGUUAAGGUGGCAAUGAAGGGGGGGACUGGAAACAUGAUCCAAUAUAUAGAGUACUGGUUUUUUUUUACAAUUUUUAUUAAAUUAUUUAUUUAUUUUAAUUGUUUAUACAUUUCUUCAAGUGA